rnacentral:rRNA from 1 species
AAUAUUGGACAAUGUGCGAAAGCCUGAUCCAGCCAUGCCGCGUGUGUGAAGAAGGUCUUCGGAUUGUAAAGCACUUUUUGUUGGGAGGAGGGGCAGUAAGCUAAUACCUUGCUGUUUUGACGUUACCGACAGAAUAAGCACCCGCUAACUUCGUCCCAGCACCCGCGGUAAUACGAAGGGUGCAAGCGUUAAUCGUAAUUACUGGGCGUAAAGCGCGCGUAGGUUGUUUGAUAAGUUGGAUGUGAGAGGCGCGGGCUCAACCUGGGAAUUGCAUCCAAAACUGUCUGACUAGAGUAUGGCAGAGGGUGGUGGAAUUUCCUGUGUAGCGGUGAAAUGCGUAGAUAUAGGAAGGAACACCAGUGGCGAAGGCGACCACCUGGGCUAAUACUGACACUGGGGUGCGAAAGCGUGGGGAGCAAACAGG